UACGUAGGUGGCAAGCGUUGUUCGGAAUUAUUGGGCGUAAAGGGCGCGUAGGCGGUUUGCUAAGUCAGUUGUGAAAGCCCGGGGCUCAACCCCGGAGGGUCGGCUGAUACUGGUGGACUAGAGUACGGAAGAGGUAGCUGGAAUUCCCGGUGUAGCGGUGAAAUGCGUAGAUAUUGGGAGGAACACCAGUGGCGAAGGCGGCUACCUGGACCGGUUCUGACGCUGAGGCGCGAAAGCGUGGGUAGCAAACAGG
rnacentral:rRNA from 1 species